rnacentral:rRNA from 1 species
AUUGAACGCUGGCGGCAUGCCUUACACAUGCAAGUCGAACGGCAGCGCGGGAGCAAUCCUGGUGGCGAGUGGCGAACGGGUGAGUAAUACAUCGGAACGUGCCCAAUCGUGGGGGAUAACGCAGCGAAAGCUGUGCUAAUACCGCAUACGAUCUACGGAUGAAAGCAGGGGAUCGCAAGACCUUGCGCGAAUGGAGCGGCCGAUGGCAGAUUAGGUAGUUGGUGAGGUAAAGGCUCACCAAGCCGUCGAUCUGUAGCUGGUCUGAGAGGACGACCAGCCACACUGGGACUGAGACACGGCCCAGACUCCUACGGGAGGCAGCAGUGGGGAAUUUUGGACAAUGGGCGAAAGCCUGAUCCAGCCAUGCCGCGUGCAGGAUGAAGGCCUUCGGGUUGUAAACCGCUUUUGUACGGAACGAAACGGCCUUUUCUAAUAAAGAGGGCUAAUGACGGUACCGUAAGAAUAAGCACCGGCUAACUACGUGCCAGCAGCCGCGGUAAUACGUAGGGUGCAAGCGUUAAUCGGAUUUACUGGGCGUAAAGCGUGCGUAGGCGGCUUUUUAAGUCGGAUGUGAAAUCCCUGAGCUUAACUUAGGAAUUGCAUUCGAUACUGGGAAGCUAGAGUAUGGGAGAGGAUGGUAGAAUUCCAGGUGUAGCGGUGAAAUGCGUAGAGAUCUGGAGGAAUACCGAUGGCGAAGGCAGCCAUCUGGCCUAAUACUGACGCUGAGGUACGAAAGCAUGGGGAGCAAACAGG